UACAGAGGUCUCAAGCGUUGUUCGGAUUCAUUGGGCGUAAAGGGUUCGUAGGCGGUGUGGCAAGUCGGGAGUGAAAUCUCUGGGCUCAACUCAGAGACUGCUUCCGAAACUGCUGUGCUGGAGUGUGGGGAGAGGCGCGUGGAAUUGCAGGUGUAGCGGUGAAAUGCGUAGAUAUCUGGAGGAACACCGGUGGCGAAGGCGACGUCCUGGACCGGCAUUGACGCUGAGGCGCG
rnacentral:rRNA from 1 species